GUGAGUGUUUCUUUGGCAGUGUCUUAGCUGGUUGUUGUGAGCAAUAGUAAGGAAGCAAUCAGCAAGUAUACUGCCCUAGAAGUGCUGCAC
rnacentral:pre_miRNA from 9 species